rnacentral:rRNA from 1 species
AGAUUGAACGCUAGCGGCAUGCCUAACACAUGCAAGUCGAACGGUAACAGGCCCUUCGGGGUGCUGACGAGUGGCGGACGGGUAGAGUAAUGCGUAGGAAUCUACCCACGAGUGGGGGAUAGCCCGGAGAAAUCCGGAUUAAUACCGCAUAUGCCCUACGGGGUAAAGACGGGGGAGUCGUAAGACCUCGCGCUGGUGAUGAGCCUACGUCCGAUUAGUUAGUUGGUGGGGUAACGGGCCUACCAAGGGCGUACGAUCGGUACGCUGGUCUGAGAGGACGACCUAGCCACGACUGGGACUGAGACACGGCCC